ACAACAUGUGGGAACUCUUUCUCAAUCUCCUGAAAAUCUUGCAAUGACAGGGAGAAAAGGCUGCAGCUGGUCAGAGCAGAAACUGUGGCCAACUGCCUUCCACCAAAUAGGAAGCUGAUCUCUGCAGAAACACAAAACUUCUUAAAAUGGUGAGCAAGCCAAAGGCGACCGUGGCAAGGAAAGUUCUCCUCUGGCUGUACAGCGUGAACAUAUUGUCAUUGAUAUUUUCUUGCAUAAACAUGACAGUGAGUGGUGCUGAAACUUACACUUUCCAAUUCAAAGCAGAAUCUCAGAAGCUUUGGCACACGGAGUAAACGGAUCAGACUGAGAACCCUCACAAACAUAAGUAUCCGCACCAUCUUCGAAGCCACCAGUGAAAUAGUGUCAGCGUGAUAAAAAUGCUCCUGUGGUAAAUUGAUUGUACUGUAAGAUAUAUCUCUACAAUUUGAUCAGUGUGAGUGAUAAUAACUGAAAAAAUAAAAUUACCACAAUGAUAAUGAUAAUGUCGACCGGAAAUGCAGCCACCACAUCAGGAACAAACCAAGAACUGAAAUAAUCCUUUCUUAUUAUUUUUGGAUCAAGGAUGGCCUAGACAGAAACAGGAAUGCAUUGUAUUAAUUUUUACAGUAUUUUAGAAAGGUGAAGCCAUAAAUAAUUAAUAUUACACUAUACAAGACAAUAAAGGCACGUUCCUACCUGA